AGUGAACGCUGGCGGUAGGCCUAACACAUGCAAGUCGAACGGCAGCACAGGAGAGCUUGCUCUCGGGGUGGCGAGUGGAGGACGGGUGAGGAAUACAUCGGAAUCUACUCUGUCGUGGGGGAUAACGUAGGGAAACUUACGCUAAUACCGUCUACGAUCCACGGGUGAAAGCAGGGGACCUUCGGGCCUUGCGCGAUUGAGUGAGCCGGUGUCGGAUUAGCUAGUUGGCGGGGUAAAGGCCCACCAAGGCGACGAUCCGUAGCUGGUCUGAGAGGAUGAUCAGCCACACUGGAACUGAGACACGGUCCAGACUCCUACGGGGGGAAGCAGUGGGGAAUAUUGGCCAAUGGGCGCAAGCCUGAUCCAGCCAUACCGCGUGGGUGAAGAAGGCCUUCGGGUUGUAAAGCCCUUUUGUUGGGAAAGAAAUCCAGCUGGCUAAUACCCGGUUGGGAUGACGGUAGCCAAAGAAUAAGCACCGGCUAACUUCGUGCCAGCCGCCGCCGUAA
rnacentral:rRNA from 1 species